rnacentral:tRNA from 1 species
GGAUUUGUGCCUGACUAUAGGGCUACUUUGAUAGAGUAGAACAUGAGGGUUAAAUUCCCUCCAACUCCU